CAAUAACAUUUGAUUUGAUUUGUAAUGCCUGACAGUCGAUGGUGUGGUGCAAAACCACUGGUACAACGUGAUGGUGCCGGAGGGGAAGGCUGCCAUCAUAUUGGCUCUUAACCAACCAUGCUAUUUUGUUUGUUUUUUCGCGUUGUUCGUAACUUGUUUUGUACAUAAUGUUGCUGCUACCGUCUCUUAUGACCGAAAAGAGCUUCUGGACAUCAGAACUGCGAUUACUCACCUCAGAUUAGACUAGGAGUUUUUCUUCAAUGAGUCGGACGAGAGGGAUAUACCACUACAGACACCAGAUCAGGCCCAGAUCCACGUCAUUCGCUGAAGGAAACAGAGGUUUCGCGGAAAAAGAUGAGGGUGCCUUGUGAGGAUCAGGCGAUGAGUGGCUAAUCUGCCUUUGCCUUCCGUCCUGCUAGCUAACGUUCAAUCGCUGGAAAAUAAAUGGGACGAACUGAAAGCAUGUAUAUCCUACCAACGGGACAUUAAAAACGGUCAUAUUUUAUAAUUCACCAAGUCGUGGCUGCACGUCGACAUUAAGAACGUACAGCUGGCGGGUUAUACACUAUCUGCAGGACAGAACAGCCAACUGUGAUAAAAUAUCUGGGAAAAACAAGCAACAUCAUUCUGACUUAUCUCCACCAUAGAGUUCUCUCUUUCAGGACCUGAGCCCUGGACCAUGCCUCAGGACUACCUGGCCUGAUGACUCCUUGCUGUCCCCAUUCCACCUGGUCGUGCUGCUGCUCCAGUUUCAACUGUUCUGCCUGCGGCUAUGGAACCCUGACCUGUUCACUGGACGUGCUACCUGUCCCAGACCUGCUGUUUUCAACUCUCUAGAGACAGCAGGAGUGGCAGAGAUACUCUGAAUGAUCGGCUAUGAAAAGCCAACUGACAUUUACUCCUGAGGUGCUGACCUUUUGCACCCUCGACAACCACUGUGAUUAUUAUUAUUUGACCUUGCUGGUCAUAUAUGAACAUUUGAACAUCUUGGCCAUGUUCUGUUAUCUCCAUCCGGCACAGCCAGAAGAGGACUGGCCACCCCUCAUAGCCUGGUCCCUCUGGGUUUCUUCCUAGGUUCUGGCCUUUCUAGGGAGUUUUUCCUAACCACCUUACUUCUACACCUGCAUUGCUUGCGGUUUGGGGUUUUAGGCUGGGUUUCGUACAGCACUUUGUGACAUCAGCUGAUGUACGAAGGGCUUUAUAAAUACAUUUGGCAAAUAAGUCGGGCUGCACAACCGAUUGGCAAAUUGUUGUAGUGAUUCCGUAUGUUGUUGGUGUAAAGAAUAUUUGUUGGUCCGUGGCGUGUACAGACACUUGACACAUUUAUGAAAUUGCUUAUUCCAGUUACUAACAAGAAAAGUUAAAUCCCGUGGAUUGAUGAGGAAUUGAACAAUUGUACGGCUGAGCGGGACAAAGCAAAAGGAAUGGCACAUAAGUCGGGCUGCACAACCGAUUGGCAAACGUACUGCAAAUUGAGAAAUCAUGUGAAUAAAAUAAAUAAAGGAAGAAAAAACAACACUAUGAAACAGAUAAAUGACAAAGAAUGAUAGUAAAAAGCUUUGGAGCACCUUAAAUUCUGG
rnacentral:lncRNA from 1 species